CUACUCUUUUGGCAGCACAUAUGCUAAAACUGGAAUGAUACAGAGAAGGUUACCAGGGCCCUGGUUCAAGGAUGGCAAGCACAUUCAUGAAGCAGUCCAUAUUUGU
rnacentral:snRNA from 1 species